CUGAAGUUCAAGAUUAAGCGGUAAAACAUUCACUGCUACUUAUCUAUUAGUCAUUAUGUGUCUGGGAUGUCAGUGUAAGAGCAUUUACCCGUGCUAAAUAGUUGGGCUGGGUUGAAGAAAACCUGGAGAUGCAGAAACAUACAGCAUGUAUAUUGCAGUCAGAAGGAUCUCGAUAUGAAGGAGCACAUCAGAUUGACUGUUCCAGGAUGCCAAUACAGAUCACUUCCCGGAAUUCAAUUUACGAGACAAAUUACAACUAAUGGUAGGAAAGAGAGGAAGGAAAUUGCAAUAGAAGGGCCCAAGAAAGGAAGAAACGGAAUAGAAUUUUUUACAGUUUUGGCCUCUCUCAAUUUGCUCCACUAUUUGGAACACUGUUGAACUAUAGAGGUCAGCCAAACAAACUGGUAGGUCCAAGCCUAAUUUAUUGCAUAUAGCAUUCGUGAAAAAGUAGCUGCAAUUGAGCAACGGUACGUUAUAGUCCGUCUCCCUAUUAUGCGCAAGCCUUUGAAUUUGCUAAUUUAUACACUCUCAUCUCGCUCAUGUCACUUCUA